GGGUCCUGCACAGGGACAUCAAACCAGGGAACAUCCUGGUGGACCUGGCCACCGGGCAGACCAAACUGAUCGACUUUGGCUGUGGCACCUACCUGCAAGACACAGCCUACACUCACUUUGCAGGAACACGGUCAUACAGCCCCCCAGAAUGGACACAAUUUGGCUGGUACCAUGGCGAGCCAGCUACCAUCUGGUCCCUGGGCAUCCUGCUGGAUGAGAUGGCCCGUGGAAAGCUGUCUUUCAGGAGGGGCUGGAACAUCAGCUGGGACCAUCAGCUCUCGCUGCCACAACAGCUCUAUCCAGAGUGCCAAAAUCUGAUCGGGUGGUGUUUAUCCAUGCACUCCUUGAGUAGACCCUCAUUAGAAGAGGUGUUCUGUCAUCCUUGGAUGCAGGAUAUUCAUCUGCCAUAGAAGAAGGGAGAGAGCCACAGGCACGCUUUGAUCCAAGGCCCUGCUGGGGCCCUGGGCAGAGCCCUGACAACCUGCUCUCACCCCAAGGAAGGAGAAGGAGCCGCUGGAGAAGCUGCACUGGGUGGGGAUGCUGCUGCUGCAGGAGACAGCAAGGAUUACAUCAAGGAUGACAACCUCUUCCUCCACCUGGCCACCAGCAGUUGAAGAGGAAGCAUUCUAGGUGGUCCAGUCUGGAUCGGGAAGUGCUUGGGAGCAGCUGCGGCGUGGAUGGGCCAUGCCCUUGGAGCAGGCUGAGGACAUCGUUUGGGACCAGCUUUUCUUCCA